rnacentral:rRNA from 1 species
UACGUAGGGUGCGAGCGUUGUCCGGAAUUAUUGGGCGUAAAGAGCUCGUAGGCGGUCUGUCGCGUCGGUCGUGAAAACCUGCAGCUUAACUGUGGGCUUGCGGUCGAUACGGGCAUGACUGGAGUUCGGCAGGGGAGACUGGAAUUCCUGGUGUAGCGGUGAAAUGCGCAGAUAUCAGGAGGAACACCGACGGCGAAGGCAGCUUACUGGGCCGAUACUGACGCUGAGGAGCGAAAGCGUGGGGAGCGAACAGG